ensembl:lncRNA
AUGGCAAGAGGAACGGUGGCCACAUACCUGCAUGGAGUGCUUCUCCUGGCUCUGUGGAAACCUUCGCUGCAAGGAGGUGUAUACAUACCAACUGCUGGAGGAGCUGGAGCUGUUGCAGGAGUUGGGUUUGGACCAGGCAGCACAGGAACAGGAUUUGGCCCUGGAGGAACUGGUUUCCAACCUGGUGGUGGAGUUGGACAAGGUGUUGGUCAAGGUGGAGGAGGAUAUGGUGGACAAGAACCUGGGGGGUUUGGACCAGGAAGUGUAGGACUGGGAGGAGUUGGACCAGGAGGUGUUGGACCAGGUGGAGUUGGACCAGGAAGAGUUGGACCAGUGGGGGUUGGGCCAGGGGGAGUCGGAUCAGGAGGAGUUGGACCUGGUGGAGCCGGAUCAGGGGGGUUUGGACCAGGGGGAGUUGGACCGGGAAUAGUUGGACCAGGGGGGUUUGGGCCAGGGGGAGUCAGACCCGGAGGAGUCGGACCAGGAGGAGUCGGACCAGGAGGAGUCGGAUCAGGAGGAGUUGGACCAGGUGGAGUCGGACCAGGGGGAAUUGGACCAGGAGGAGUCGGACCAGGAGGAUUUGGACCAGGGUCAGUCGGACCAGGAGGAGUUGGGUCAGGGGGAAUCAGACCAGGAGGGAUUGUUCCUGGGGCUGGUGGGAAACCUCCAAAAACAGGUGGCUACGGUGGACAGGGAGCAGGACUGGGAGCAGGAGGUGUAGGGACCGGAGGAUAUGGACAAGGUGGUUUUGGUCCUCAACGCUAUGGAACUGGGUCUGGUGAAGUUGGUCCAAGUGGUUUUGGACAAACAGGCACUGGUCCAGGAUAUGGAGGCCUUGGAGCAGGGGGGCUGGGUGGAGGAGGCCUUGGUACAGGAGGUCCUGGUACUGGUCUGGGUCAAGGAGCUGGAGCAGGCUACAUACCUGGAGGUGGCUAUGGAGGAUAUGGUGGGGGUUAUGGACCCAAACCCCCCAAGACUGGUGGUGUUGGAACAUCACUUGGAAGAACAGGUUACGGCCCUGGUGGAACAGGGGUUGGGCCAAGUGGUGCAGGAAUAGGUUCUGGGGGUACAGGGCUUGGGUCAGGUGGAGCAGGAGUUGGUCCUGGUGGAACUGGACUUGGGCCAGGUGGAGCAGGAGUUGGUCCUGGUGGAACUGGACUUGGGCCAGGUGGUGCAGGAGUUGGUCCUGGGGGAGCAGGGUUUGGACCAGGUGGUGGAGGAAUUAAUCCUGGGGGUGCAGGGUUUGGACCAGGUGGAACUGGGCUCAGGCCAAGUGGAGCAGAAGUUGGUCCUGGGGGUACAGGAUUUGGACCAGGAGGAGCAGGAAUCGGUCCUGGGAGAGCAGGGUUUGGACCAGGUGGAAUUGGGCUUGGACUAGGUGGAGCAGGAGUUGGUCCUGGGGGUACAGGAUUUGGACCAGGAGAAGCAGGAGUUGGUCCUGGUGGAGGCGGUCCAGUGCUGCCACAGACUGGUACAACUGGUGGAGGACCUGGAGGAAAGAGUGGUGGUAAAGCAUCAAUGCAAGUUCCAGGAGUUGGGGUGCCUGGACUCUAUCAAGGUGGAUUUGUUCCAGGUCAAGGUUUUGGAGGCCGUGGCAUUCUCCCAGGAGUGGUUACAGGAAAUGGACUUGGGCCUCAAACUGGAGCCGGAGUACUUGGUCAAGGUGGGGCAGGACCAGGAGGAGCAGCCAAUGGGCGAGGUCAACAAUUCCCAGGAGUUUUUCGUGGUUACCCACUCAUAACACCAAAAUCAGGCACAGGGAAAUCAAAGAAACCAGGCAAAGCAGCUGCUAAAUAUGGGGGAGCUGGAGGAGGCACCAUUGGUCAGGGAGGCACAUUAGGGGGCGGGGCUGGAAGACUUCCUGGAGGGGGAGUCAUACCUGGAGUAGGCGGGGGAGUUGGAACAGGAGGGGUAUCUGGUGUAGGGGGCGGUGUUGGAACAGGACUGGGACCUGGAUUUGGAACAGGUGUGGGACCUGGAUUAGGGGGUGGUUUUGGAACAGGAUCGGGACCGGGAGUUGGGAGUGGUGUUGGAACAGGAGUGGGACCUGGAACUGGAGGUGGUGUUGGAACAGGAGUGGGACCUGGAGUUGGGGGUGGUGUUGGAUCAGGAGUGGGACCUGGAGUAGGGGGUGGUGUUGGAACAGGAGUGGGACCUGGAGUAGGGGGUGGUGUUGGAACAGGAGUGGGACCUGGGGUUGGGGGUGGUGUUGGAACAGGAAUGGGACCUGGAUUUGGAACAGGAGUGGGACCUGGAUUUGGAACAGGAGUGGGACUUGGAAUAGGUUAUGGUCCUGGCUCAGCCAAAGCACGCAAAUAUGGACCUGGUGGAACUGGAGCUGGCUUCAGCACUGGAGGGGGCACAGGUGAUGGCUAUGGGUUUGGUCCAGGCACUGGUUCAGCUGGAGGCGCUGGAGGUGGACAGCUAGGAGGAGUCAGUCUUAGGACAGGAGUGGGACCUGGCUCAGGGAUUGGUUUUGGUCUGGGUGGUGCUGCCACUGGAAUUGGACCAGGUGGUCAAGGCUACGGUCCAGGUGGAACUGGCACAGGAAUUGGAAGACCAGGAACUGGACCUGGAGGGAAUUAUAAUAUAGGUUAUGAUGCAGGUGCCAAAGCUCGUAAAUAUGGAAUGUUAAGUGGGAUGCUUGGAGGUCUAGGAUUAGGACCAGGCGAAGCUGCUACUGGAUAUAGGCCAGGUGGAGUCUCGCCAGGUGGCACUGGAACUGGCUAUGGACCAGGAGGAGUCGGGCCAGGUGGUGCUGGAACUGGCUAUGGACCAGGUGGAGUCGGGCCAGGUGGUGCUGGAACUGGCUAUGGGCCAGGAGGAGUCGGGUCAGGUGGUCCUGGAACUGGCUAUGGGCCAGGAGGAGUUGGGACUGGUAGCGCUGGAACUGGCUAUGGACCAGGAGGAGUCGGGCCAGGUGGUGCUGGAACUGGCUAUGGGCCAGGAGGAGUUGGGACUGGUGGCGCUGGAACUGGCUAUGGACCCGGAGGAGUCGGGCCAGGUGGUGCUGGAACUGGCUAUGGGCCAGGAGGAGUUGGGACUGGUGGUGCUGGAACUGGCUAUGGACCAGGAGGAGUUGGGCCAGGUGGUGCUGGAACUGGCUAUGGACCAGGAGGAGUUGGAACUGGUGGUGCUGGAACUGGCUAUGGACCAGGAGGUUCCAAAGCCCAAAAAUAUGGAGUGCCUGAGGGAGUGGGAGGUACCCUUGGUGCUGGAGGACUUGGCAGUGGUCCUGGACUGGGAGUUGGUGGAGGGAUUCCUGGACAAGGUGUUGGGCUGGCGACUGGUGGAGGUCCUGGCUCAGGGGUUGGGACAGCAGGGACCACUGGUUCUAGUUUUGGAACAGGAGGAAGACCAUUUGGCUUUGGACCAGGCAGUGUUGGAGGACAUCCUGGUGGGGCCAAGUCUCUCAAAUAUGGGCUUCCUGGUGGUGGAGGAGCUCCUGGAUCUGGUUUGGGUGGAAGGUUUGGUGUCACAACGGCAGGCACCUAUGGUCCAGGGAGUGGGGGAGCACUGGGAACAGGGUUAGGAUAUGGACCGGGAGCUGGAUCAGUACCUGGAACUGGUUAUGGACCAGGUGGAGGUUACACAGGACCAGGGACUGGAUAUGGACCAGGUUAUGGAACAAAAGUGAAACCUGCUAAAUACGGUCAAAGCGGUGGUGUACUUGGAGGUGGAGCAGGACGAGGUGGUUAUGGACCAGGAGGCUUUGGACCAGGGACAGGAGGUGCAGUGCAACCAGGAGGAGUAGCACCUGGUGCAGGAGCAGGUACCAGUCCAGGUGUUUCAGGGAACAGCACCAGUGGCGCAGCGUCAAGUGGGCCAGGAGAAAGGUUUGGAGGCCCAAGUGGAACACCGCCACCAUCACCAGAAGCUGAUAAUGUAAAUGCCAGUGGGAUAGAGGGCUCUGGAAUACCAGGUGAAGGAGGCACUGGUGUAGCUGGAAGGCCAGUUGGUGGUGAUGGAGAUGGUCUGAAUGGAACAGGAAUCCCCAUCAUUGGAGUGAAACCUGGAUUCAAUGGGAGCACAAUUUCAGUUUCCACAGGAGAUACUCCUGCUGGUGGUGUGGUUGCUAAACCUAGUGUAAGGCCAGGAUUUGGAGGGACAGCACUUCCCCCUAGAGGUCCUGGUGGUGACCUCUCUAGCAGAGCCCUGCCUGAUGCAAAACCCCUCAAACCUCCAGGUGUUCCUAGAGGAGACACACCAGGUGAAGGAGAUAGAGAAGGCAGUCCUGAUGGGGAGAUAGAUGGCUCAGUUGGAAGACCAGGUGGAGUUGGAGGAAGUCCCACUGGUUCAGGAUCAGCCGGAGGAGUUUCGGGUGGAGUAAUGGGAGUCGGACGAGGUGACAGUCCUGGUGGUGGAACUGGAGUUCAAUCAGGAGGUAUAACCACCGCUGUAGGAGGAACACCAAAGCCACCCCAAGCAUAUGGACAUGAUGGAACUCCAGCAGGAGGUGGGUCUGUUGGAGUUGGAGGGCUAGCAGGAGGAGUUGGAGGAGGUCCUGGAGGAACAAGCUUGGUACCUGGGGCUUCUGACUCUGGUGGAGUUGCAUCUGGAGUCCCAAAACCUGGAAAAAGCUAUGGUGCUGGUGGAGUUGGACUUUUACCAGGUGGAGGCGUACGGUACCCCAGUGGAGCCGGAGUGGGACAAGGAGCAGGAAAAGCAGGAAAAGCAUAUGGUGCUCGUGGAGCAGGAGGCCUAGGUGGGCUAGGACCUGGAGGUUACGGGACUGGAACAGGUGGCUAUGGUACAGGACCUGGUGGAUUUGGAACAGGACCUGGAGGUUAUGGAGGGCAAACAGGAAGUGGAUCCGCUGGUGGUCCUGGAGGUAUAGGGACUAUUGGUGUGGGAACUGGUCCAGGAAGAGCAGCAGGACCAGGAAGAGUUGAUAGUGGACUGGGAGGAUAUGGUGGUGGCGUAAGACCAGAUGGUUCUCGAUAUGGGACAGGUCCAGGAAUUGGAAAACCCCCCAAAAGUUAUGGAACAGGAGGUGCUGGUACCGCAUUUGGACCUGGCAGUUAUGGAACAGGACCAGGGGGAGUUGGUCUUGGUCCUGGUGGGUUUGGACCUGGCACUGGUGGCACAGGACUGGGUGGUGCAGGAACUGGACCUGGUAGUUUUGGGCCAGGUGGUGUUGGCCCAGGACCAGGUGGAUAUGGACCAGGUGGAGCAGGGGUCAUCCCUGGUGUUUAUGCUGCUGGAGGUCAAGGACUGGGUACAAGAAAACCACAAAAGACAGGUUAUGGAUCAUCAUUGGGUGGUGCUGGCUUUGGACAAGGUACAGGAUUUGGACCUGGAGGACCAGGCACUGCACCUGGCAGAUAUGGACCAGGCGGUGUUGGGACAGGACCCGGGUUUGGACCAGGUGGUGUUGGGACAGGACCCGGGUUUGGACCAGGCAGUGUUGGGACAGGAACUGGGUUUGGACCAGGUGGUGUUGGGACAGGAACUGGGUUUGGACCAGGCGGUGUUGGGACAGGACCCGGGUUUGGACCAGGCGGUGUUGGGACAGGAACUGGGUUUGGACCAGGCGGUGUUGGGACAGGAACUGGGUUUGGACCAGGCGGUGUUGGGACAGGAACUGGGUUUGGACCAGGUGGACAAACAUUAGGAAAACAAAAACCUUCUAAAUCUGGUUACGGCGGAACUGGUUAUGGAACAGGAGGUGUUGGAGGUGGUACUGGUCCUGGAGACACUGGAACUAGACCUGGAAGCUUUGGUCCCGGAGGAUAUGGACCAGGUGGAGCUGGGACAGGUCCUUCUGGUGGCUUUGUUCAAGGAGGUGUUGGACCUGGUGGUUUGGGUCCAGGAGGUGCUGGUACUGGUGGUUUUGGUCCAGGUGGUGCUGGAAGCUUACCAGGGGGUUUUGGACCUGGUGGCCAAAAUCUUGGAACAAGAAAGCCUGCUAAAUCUGGAUAUGGUUCAUCUUUGGGUGGAACUGGAUAUGGACCAGGAACAGGAGGUCUUUCUGGACCAGGAACAGGAGGUGCCAUAGGGGGAGGUCCGGGUACUGGUGUGGGGGGCCCAGGGGGAGCAGGAGGAACAAGCCAGACUGUAGGAGGAGUCGCUGGCCUUCCAGCAGGGGGUGCUGGUCCGGGAUAUGGUGGAGUAGCAGGAGGAGUAUAUCCAGGAUAUGCAGGAACUGGACAAAAAUCUAAGGCACAGAAGGCAGCUAAAUAUGCAGCCAUGCAGGCCUUUCUUGGAGGCUACAGAGGUGCUGGCUGUCAGGGUAACUACUGCGGGAGGAGGAGGAAAUGA